GUGAGCGGUCGCGUGUUGUCGUCGUUCCUGUUCUGGGUGUUUCGGGGUGGCGUUGGUGGCUCGGACUGUUCUGACUGUGUGUUUGUGCCUUGCUAGUGAUGUCUGGACAUGUUUCUCUGUUGGAUUUCGUGAAUGGAAGACGCUUUUGACAGAUUUGUUUCUGUGCACAAGACAAAUGGGGUAUCGCACUCCCGACGUAGGAAAUGAACACACACGUCGCUGAGAUCUUAAAAAACAAAGUAGGGUGUGCACUUCACCCAUGCAACUCCAAUGUCUGCUUCAUGGCAGUGCAAGCUUUUACAACCGUGCCCUUGAAUGUAACAAGCCAAAUAAACUGGAU